AUGAACAAGUCCGGCGAGGACAGCACGGCGGAAGCCGAUCAGACCGACGGCGCGCAAUCAGGGUGCGAUGCUUCCGUCCUCCUCAACACGACCAACUCCAAUAACGAGACGGAGAGGGAAGGCCUUCCCAACAUGAACAGCCUACGAGGGUUCGAGGUGAUCGACGAGGCCAAGACGGCGAUCGAGGCCGCCUGCAACAAUACAGUCUCAUGCGCGGACAUCGUCGCCUUCGCCGCCCGCGACGCAUCCUACUUCCUCAGCAACGGCAGCAUCAAUAUCCCGAUGCCAGGCGGCCGCUACGACGGGCGCGAGUCCUUCGCCAGCGAGACCGACCAGCUGCCCGGGCCCUUCUCCAACGGGUUCACCCUCGACGAGAUGGUCACGCUCUCCGGCGCGCACACCAUCGGCCGCGCCCGCUGCAUGUUCUUCUCCAGCCGCUUCUCUGAGAUGAACCAGACAUAUGCCGCCAACCUCAGGGCCGAGUGCAGCAACAACGGCGACACCAACGUGAACCAAGACAAUGUGACCUCCAACGUCCUGGAUAAGCAGUACUACCAGAACGUGAUCGACAACAAAGUGUUGUUCACCUCGGACGCCGUGCUCAACUCGACAGAAACGAGAACGCAGGUGAUAGACAACGCGGACAAGCCCGGAGAGUGGGAGAGGAAGUUCGAGAAAGCCAUGGAGAAAAUGGGGAAAAUCAAAGGCGACCAGCAAGGCCUGGAGAUCAGGAAGGUAUGCUGGAGAGUCAACAACGUUGGCCAGUAUUAA
rnacentral:rRNA from 1 species